CAACAAAAAGAAGAAGAAAGGAGAAGGAGAAGGAGGAGGAGGAUGAGAAGAAGAAGAAGAAGAAGAAGAAGAAGAAGAAGAAGAAGAAGAAGAAGAAGAAGAAGAAGAAGAAGAAGAAGAAGAAAGACUAAACUCUGAGGAAACAAACCACUAUUCUUCAGGUCUGGGUGUCUUUGAGGAGAGGCAGAGACCAAUUCAGGCCACAUAUCCUGCCUUUGGAACGAAUGCCUGAGAAGAUGCCAGGAGGUUCUGGUCAGCUCUGAGGGCCCCAGUAAACAACCAGGAUCCUAACCAACCAGAAGAAGGCUCAGGGGUGACUCACUCGGCUUUGGGUCCAGUUGCCUGGAUGGAGACAGCUUCAAAGGAAACCUAGAGUUUACUCAAGUGCAGCUGUGAAUCUGUGGCAGGGAGGGGAAGUAGGGAGGUGGGAAGGUGGAGGAACCUAGGAAAGAUUUGGGAAGCAGGGAAAGAGAGCUGGUGGAAGGUUUAGUGAGAUGAACAGAUGGGUUUGGACCUUAUUCAUAAGGGGGGGUGGGUGUGAAUCCUUGUGUGUGCAUGCACACACAUAAGCACGUGUGCAUUCAUGUGGGUAUGGAUGUCAGGCAUCAACAUGGGCUUUUUAUUAUUCUCACUGUGUUGGAACUCACCAGUUCAGUUGGAUUGGCUGGCCAGUUAGCCCCAGGGAUCCCUGCCUGCCCCUGGUUUAUAAGGAGGCAUCACCAGGUCCUUGUGCUUGGAAGGUGAAGGGUUUGCUGACCGAACCAUUUCCUUGGUUUUCGCUUCUGCAUUUCCGUCCACACUCAAUGGUCAAACUGUUCUGAUAAUCCCUUGGGUCUCCUCACAGAAAAUGUGUUCUUAGAUGGUCAGUGCCUGCGCUUCUCAAAGCCACCCAAACAUCCCACACCAGAAGGGAGCCAGCACGGGAAGCUGGCCAUCCCAGGUCUCAUUUCCUCCCAGCAGAUACUUAUAUGUGAGGGAUUUCAGUUUUUCUUAAGGCAAAGUGAAUGCAGGGAGUUUGACUAAGGGGUGACGAAAACCCCAAACUAACAAAACCAGUCACUUAGGAUUUAGAGCUGUUCAGAGCCAGGGCCUUGUUCUAUCUCAGGAAGACAAGAGAACAUCCCCAACCCGGGAGCUUUACAAUAGGUAAGAAUACUGAAAGGAACAGAAUGCUGUCUGUGGCUUAAGUUACAGGAGGGAAAACAUGCUCAGAGCUUGGAGUUUAGAAAAAUAACAUUAAAGCAGGGACUGUUCAGAGAGGGCAGAAUGAGAGGGAGAACAUGGAAUUUCCAGCCCCGGAGCCAUCCUGAGGGUGUGGGGCCUUCUUCAUCAUAGGUUGUUUAGAGUAAUGAACCUGAUCCCACCUCUGUGCCUGGGAAUGGACUUGCUGACCCAGACGAAGAGCUUUCCAGUCCAAACAAUUCCCUAAUUAUUGACCCAGGUGGUCAGGGGUUGUCUCAGAGGAAGAGGACUCCAUUCUGAACAGGCUUAUAAACAAUCUGUUGCCAACAGUGCUUUGUCACUGACUGGAUCAUUUUCAAGCCCUAGUGUUUCAGCAAAGUCUCCAGUAGGGUGGUUCCCCUCAGCAGUGACAUCUUGGAAGGUCCUCAGAGCUCAGUUCUUUUCAGUCAAAUGGAGUUCCCAUUUUCUUUGGUCUGGCUUAGAAAGGUACCAGGGGUCAGCCGAACAAUUCUGUGGCUCCCAGGAGGAAGGGAAGCAGCAGGGAUCUUCAUACAGAUGCAGCCUCUCUAGCUGGUGGCUGAAGCUGUCUUCCCAGGGUGUGGGUAUUGAGUAGCCCUCUGGGUUGUUCCUAGCCACUAAUGUGUAAUUGCUCUGAUCUCCUCUUUCCCGUUUGUUUAUUUGCCCUGUUUUCUCAUCAUGGUGGCCUGAUAUGAGACUCUUCUAUUCUCAACAUUCUUCAAAAUUCCCUGCUAUCACUUCCAUCUUCCAGGCCUAGUGAUCGUCUUGAAAGGAUUUUUUAGGCUGAGGAGAUGGCUCAAGAGGCUGUUGCACAUGCAUGGCUGAGCUUGAUCUCCUAGAACUCAUCUUAAAAAGCCAGUUGUGAUGGGGCAUGCUUACAAUCCCAGUGAAGUGGAGGCAGCAAGAUGUAGAUGCUUGGGCUUCUCCCCAGCCAGCCUAGCUUCCUGGGAGAGGUCCAGGCCAAUGAGAGACCUUUCUUAAUAAAGGGGGUGGGGGCGGAUGGGUGGGUGGAUAGAACCUGAAAAGGGACACUAGAGACUGGCUUCUGGCCUUUCCAUACAUGUGAUGUGCACGCCUCACACAAAGGAUUUUUAGUUUGAAAAAUUAAUUUAAUAUUUCACAUCUUUAGUCAAUAAAUACUUUGUACCAUGAUAUGAUAAUAUGCAUUAUGUAUAUAAUCCUGUUUACUCAGGCUUUAUCAGAGUGAAGGGAUAAAGGACUUCCCACUAAGGCGUCAACCAUGCAUUCCUGGUUGUUGGCCCAUUUGAAUCAUAUAGAUGUUCUGUGUGAAUAUCAUCUGUCCCCUCCCCAAAGUCACAUUGGAAUUUAACCCUCAUUAGGAGGUAUGGUGAGGGUGGAGCUCCAGAGUUGACUACUGGUGGCUACAUAAAUGGAACCAAGACCAGGAGAGACAGACACUGUCAGUCUCAUCUUUCCUCAGAUGAAGUCACAUGCUUCUUUGAGACUUUGCCAGCAAGAACUCUAUUACCAGGUGUAGCUAGUGACCUUUCCUCCAAGCUGUGAGUUAAAAAUAAACCUUUUGGGCUGGGGUAAUUUAUUUAUAAUUUAUUCUGUCUGUGGUACUUUGUUAUUAGUAACAGAAAAUGGACUGAUCCCGCCCUCAGAGCACAGCAUCCUCUGCUUAUCCUUUAAGGGGUCUUGCAUUAGCUCUUGGGCAUCCUACAGAGGGGGAAUUCAUCACCAUUCCUGCUACAGGGACCUUUCCCUGGGAUAACAGAUGCCUGCCUGGAUAGCUUUAUGAUUAUGGAUGCAAAGUGGGAAAGCCAGAGGCUGCAGAGCUAUAUUGCUUGGACACUUCCCCAUGCUAAAUUUACAAAUGCAAGGCCACUAAAUAAGGGGGAAAGCCUGUGUCUGUCAAGUGCCACCAUUGCUAUAAGACUGAGACAAUAGUAGUCAGAUACGACCAAGGUGUUAACACCUGGGAUACGUAGAACUAUGCCCCUUUCCCCAACUCUGUCCUGCACUGGGAUUCUGUUCUUCACCUAUUAUUACCAGAUAACUAGGGUUGACCCAAGGACUGUCACAAUUUUUAUUACACUUUAUGCCCUGGGUUAACAAUUAUAUUUGAGUCUUAUGUAGGGACAACCUCAGACUAUAGGAAAGGAUAGCUUUAUACGUAAGGGUGCUUCUUAGGGACAAAAAUCAGAAAUCACAAAAAUGUUCUAUCAUCAAAGCUCUCUGAGGAGAGGCACACAUCACAGUAAAAAUAUGUUUAGUGAGGCUUUGGAGGGCUGGAGGGAAAAGCUUACCACAGACAAAAACGAUUAAGUAUAAAAGCUAGAAGUAAAUGCCCUUUUAAAGAUUAAAUGGCAGUAAAUGAUUUAAAUAGAGUCACCAGGACCUCAUGCAGUGGAGAUUUCUGGGAUGUCGCAGCAGAGUACAAGCUAUCUCUCCAUGGUGACUUUCCACAGGUAAGGUUGAACAUUUCCUCAUGAGUUCCUGUUGUUGCUGCUGGCACCCACAAGCCACACGUUUGGGUGUCAGGGAGUGUGUUGCAUUGCUGCACUCUUGGGUUCUUGGGGCCUGGCUCCUCCUCACAGAAGAUGAAUACUUAUGGAAUGAAUGAAUAAAUGAGUCAAAUGGAG